rnacentral:rRNA from 1 species
AUGGAGGGCUCCAUCGCAAACGCAUUGUUCAACAAAUGGACAGUGCAGCAACAAUACAACAUAACCGAUAAGGCCAUACUUCCCGCAGAAUUUGCAAACAUCGUGCUCGGUGUUAAAAUUGGAGAAAAAGGAGGACUAGCAGAAUUCAAUGAGGAAGAAGCAUUGAAACAGUUUGCACCCCUUGUAAUAGGGAAGGAACUUUUAAAGAAAAAGCUGAUUAUGAUACCUCACAACACAGCUAAACACUACACAUUGUACGUGCUCAACAAGUACACGAGCUCCAUCGACAUACUUGACUCACUGAAUUACAGACACGAAGAUGGAAAAAAUUAA